UACCAGCUCUCCGAGUGGUAGGGAUGAUUAUUGGGCUUAAAGCGUCCGUAGCCGGCUUAGCAAGUCUCCUGUUAAACUCAGCGACCUAAUCGUUGAAUCGCGGGAGAUACUACUAGGCUAGGAGGCGGGAGAGGUCGACGGUACUUCUGGGGUAGGGGUGAAAUCCUAUAAUCCCGGGAGGACCACCAGUGGCGAAGGCUGUCGACUAGAACGCGCUCGACGGUGAGGGACGAAAGCUGGGGUAGCGAACCGGAUUAGAUACCCGGGUAGUCCCAGCUGUAAACGAUGCGGGCUAGGUGUUGGGGUGGCUACGUGCCACUUCGGUGCCGCAGGGAAGCCAUUAAGCCCGCCGCCUGGGGAGUACGGCCGCAAGGCUGAAACUUAAAGGAAUUGGCGGGGGAGCACCACAAGGCGUGAAGCUUGCGGUUU
rnacentral:rRNA from 1 species